AUCCGGGUUCUGGGACCUUCCGCGUAGUUUCCUCUCUGCACUGCUUAUCCCAUUCCUCCGGCCCCGCCCCCGCCACGCCACUCCGAACUGCUCCUCGACGCAGGGCGCUGCGCAGGGGGUGAUCAUGGCCUGAAGGGAAAUCCCGCACCGCGACGCUCCAAGGGUGACAAGGAUAGCUUUCUCAGGCCAGGGAAGGAAGAUAAGAUACCUUAAUCUUCUUGACGCUGCAGAGCUUUUGAUGGUUGCUGGGUUGUGCUAUAAGUACUCAGGGGUGAAUUCGGACUGGAAGAUAAGAUACUGAAGUGAAACAAAAGUUGUCGAUAGAGUUUGUUUCAAAAUGGAUGAAGGCCAGGGAGUGAGGUACUGGUGCCACAUGUGCGAGGAGGUGAUCGAUCCUAUGCCUGAGAUGAAGUGCCCGAGCUGUGAGGGCGGGUUUGUGGAAGAGAUGGACUCUGAAGGCUUUGAACCAGCUACGAACACGAGGUCUGAUCGCUCCCUCUCUCUCUUGGCUCCACUGCUUCUUGGUGUGCUGGGGGGUUCGUCGCGCAGAUCAAGACUCAGGAGGGCGGCCAUGGAGGACGCCGAUGCUGAUGAGGAUGAUGACGAGGAUGAUUCAGACCGUGAGCUUGAAGUUCCCAGUAGGAGGCGAAGGAGGAGGGGCUCAUCAGCGCUUGCCAGGCUGCUCCAAACUAUCCAUGAUGACAUAAGGGGCUUGGAUGACACUGACAGUGAUACAGAGAGAGACAUGGAGAGAGAAAGAAGGGAGAGGCAGAGGGCGGAGAGGAGGGUGGAGAGGCAGAGGGCGGAGAGGAGGGCGGAGAGGUUAAGGGAAAUAGAGAGACUGAGCGAUCGUGGGAGGGAGAGGACAGAAAGCCUAAUACUGAUCAACUCCAACAAUGAGGCUAUUAUUCUCCAAGGAACAUUUGGACGCGAUGACAACCAGGAGGAAUCAAGCAACACAAGUUCUGGUGUAUCACUUGGGGAUUACUUUCUUGGUCCAGGCUUAGAUAUUCUCUUGCAGCGUUUGGCAGAGAGUGAUCUCAGUCGUUCUGGCACACCACCUGCCAAGAAGGAAGCAGUGGAUUCAUUGCCAACUGUGAACAUCAAGGAACUGUUGGGCUGUUCAGUCUGUCUUGAGGACUUUGAGAUGGGUGCAGAAGCAAAGCAGAUGCCCUGUCAGCACAAAUUCCACCCUCAUUGCAUCCUUCCAUGGCUGGAGCUUCAUAGUUCUUGCCCAGUCUGUCGAUUUCAGUUGCCUACCGAGGAGACAAAGAACCCAUGUGAAUCAGCCAGUGGUGCUGGGGCUAUGAACGGUGAUGGAGACAAUGCUGCUGCAAGCAGUAGUAGUGAUACAGAGGGUACUAACCGCAAUGGAGACAACCGCUCAGAUAGUCCUAUCUUCUCUGCUUUGAGCGCACUCUUCUCUGAUCCAUCCUCAUCAGAUGAUGAUGAAGGUGCUCCACACUCUUCUGAGAGCUGAAGUUUCUUCUACAUUGCAGACAGCGACAGAUGCAGGCUUACAAGUUACAAUAUGGUGAAGGUGUUCUGAAAUGUGAUGCGGCUAUCUUUAUAUUGUAGUUUCUGUACAUAUUUCUCUGAAUUGGCGCUCCUGGAAGACAAGCUAUUCUCUUCGCUUUAUGAGAACUAUGUGGCUUGUAAUGUGCUAGUGUGGUGCUCUUAUGAACUUAAAUAAAAGUUAGCCUCUAGCGUGCUUACCAUCUCCUGAAGACUUCGGCAUGCGUUAGUGGACUGCCAGUUUGGUUGACACUGUGACCAAUGUAAGGCUGAUCUCCUUCACUAGCUGUUUGGCUUAUGUAAGCAGUGACAUUGCGCCUUAUGCUUUUUCUGUGAGAACCCUUGGAAGGCAACUGGAUGAUUUCUAUGAAGGGAAGGGCCUUUUACCGAUACUUGUUACUCACAGUCGUCUGUGUUCUGGAGUUGAUGGAAGGUUGCAGCCAGGUCCAAGGGCAGUCCUGCCCUGUUCCAGAGGUUAUGGUUUGAAAGAACAUUUAAAAGGAGGUGGACAAAACAGCAUCUGCCAUCGCCGUCGGCAUGCUUGUGGAAUCUUGCUUGCUGUUUAUUUUCUUGGUUUGAUCAUCAGAUCACAUGGUAGAUGAGGGUAGGUCAUCUUUAUCUCCAUUCUGUUGAUUGUUCUGCUGCGAUUUCCCUGAACUAGGUGUGGCAUGUUUUGGUUUGCCACGAUUUUGUUCAGCGGGCAUGGUUGAAUUCAUAGAUAAAUUCAAGCU